rnacentral:misc_RNA from 1 species
UCCCGGUUUCCCGGGCAGUCUCGCCAGAGUGCUCACCGAAGUGAUAGCAACUGACGACAAGAGUUGCGCUCGUUACAGGACUUAACCAAACAUCUCACGACACGAGCUGACGACAACCAUGCAGCACCUGUGAUUCUGUCCGAGCAAGCUCGGAAGACUGUGUUUCCACAGCUGUCAAAAACAUGUCAAGCCCAGGUAAGGUUCCUCGCGUAAUAUCGAAUUAAACCACAUGUUCCACCGCUUGUGCGGACCCCCGUCAAUUCCUUUGAGUUUUAAUCUUGCGAUCGUAGUUCCCAGGCGGAUCACUUAACGCGUUAGCUGCGACACCGAUCUCGCAAUGCGAAACCGACAUCUAGUGAUCAUCGUUUACAGCGUGGACUAC